CAUUAAUCAUGCGUGAGGGAUAGUAGUGGAAAUCCUUUUUAUUCUAAAUCCCGAUAGGGUUUGGAAUAAAAAGAUUGCAACGGAUAGCCCGACCCGAC
rnacentral:sRNA from 1 species